GUGAAUCAUCGAAUUUUUGAACGCAAAUUGCACUCUCUCCGGAGAGGAUGCGUGUUUGAGGGUGAGCCUAAAAAAAAUCGACAUAGUCGCGGGUUUGUGGUGGCAUUCGUCGGAAAGUGGGUCAGCUUGAACCAUAGGGGUGUAAGCGGCUUAAAAUCUUGUUUACUAGUCCAGGAACGUU
rnacentral:misc_RNA from 1 species